ACUUUGGUUCCAGGGGACUUGAGUGCGGGGGAGCCAGGGGUCACAUUCCAGGAUCCUAGCGGGAUUUGACAAGGACCGGAAGAUAAAAAUUCUCUCCGGAAGUCCAUGCAAACCUGUGUGGUGUGUUCCUCCGGCGGGCUGCGUCCCUUAGUCUGCAGCCGCCGAGGGUAGUGGUUUGCCAUCUCCAUGGAAGGUACGGCGGUCUCGAGUCCAGCCAGUUUCCGUGUCACCGAGCCAAGGCCUGACGGGCGUGGGGAGGUUUUCCUGAGGUCUGCAAAGCGCUCCAUCCAUCUCACCCCGCCCCCGGAAAGUCCGACGAUGGUGGCCGGGAAGGACCACACACAGGUAUCUCUGACCUUUGAAGAUGUGGCCGUGGCUUUCACCCAAGAGGAGUGGGGACAGUUGGACCCUGCUCAAAAACCUGUGCACCAGGAGAUGAUGCUGGAAAUCUAUGGGCUUCUGGUCUCUCUGGAGGUGUUGCAGUAUAAUCCCUGAGUGUGUCCUUGCGUGACCUCUGCUCUUUGAAGAUAAUUUAUCUUCCUGUGCAAGGCCCUGCCGCAUCGCCACCCAACACUUAGUCUCUGCUGUUGACUUCUCUGGGUGUUUGAGGCUUUUUUCAUUUUGUGGUACUUGAGAAUCCGGAGCCGGGGCUGGUGAGAUGGCUCAGUGGCUAGAUCCUCUGAGAGUGUGCAGUUAUAGAAGAGUGUGAUGAUUAUUCCUAUCUUGGCAUGGCAAACCUCCCUCACCCAUCUGUACCUGCUUGUCCUCCCUCAUGGGAGCAAACCACUGGAGUUACUGAAGUAGACUGUUAGUCUUCAGAAGGUAUCCUGUCCCCAGCCUGAGGCUGUUGUGCCAGCUGGAGCAAGUACAGGAGCCAUGGACAGAGUGGUCAAGUCCCCCUGCGGAAGCACCUGCUUGGUUAAGAGUCUGAGCCAGCCGGGCAUGGUGGCACACGCCUUUGAUCCCAGCACU